rnacentral:tRNA from 1 species
GGCCCGGUGGCUCAGCUGGUUAGAGCGCCGCCCUGUCACGGCGGAGGUCGACGGUUCGAACCCGUUCCGGGUCGCUA